GAGACCGGAGGCUACCGCCCGACAGCGCGAUGCGCCCUCGGGCGCCAUAGGUG
rfam:Alphaproteobacteria bacterium 13_2_20CM_2_64_7 13_2_20cm_2_scaffold_835, whole genome shotgun sequence.